rnacentral:rRNA from 1 species
UAAUACCAGCACCCCGAGUGGUCGGGACGAUUAUUGGGCCUAAAGCAUCCGUAGCCGGUUUUACAAGUCCUCCGUUAAAUCCAACUGCUUAACAGAUGGGCCGCGGAGGAUACUAUAAGACUAGGAGGCAGGAGAGGCAAGCGGUACUCAGUGGGUAGGGGUAAAAUCCGUUGAUCCAUUGAAGACCACCAGUGGCGAAGGCGG